CUUGCGAGGCAUGGUAAACGAUCAAGCUUCAAAUAUUCUAGUUUACUGAAACAAAUCUCAUCUUCUACUCCAUCUCCCUCACUUGCUACUAUUUGUUGUAGCAUUUCGCAUUCGUAUACACUCAUUCUUUGGAGUUGCCCCAGACUUCUAGCUGUUGACAGAGGCAUCAAAUUUACUAAUCCAUGACAUUUUGAUAUUGUUAGAGUUGUCAGAUUUGGGAAAGAUAUUGAGGAUGGGACUAAAACUUUCAGCC
rnacentral:misc_RNA from 1 species